UUUGAUCAUGGCUCAGAUUGAACGCUGGCGGCAGGCCUAACACAUGCAAGUCGAACGGUAACAGGAAGCAGCUUGCUGCUUUGCUGACGAGUGGCGGACGGGUGAGUAAUGUCUGGGAAACUGCCUGAUGGAGGGGGAUAACUACUGGAAACGGUGGCUAAUACCGCAUAACGUCGCAAGACCAAAGAGGGGGACCUUCGGGCCUCUUGCCAUCAGAUGUGCCCAGAUGGGAUUAGCUUGUUGGUGAGGUAACGGCUCACCAAGGCGACGAUCCCUAGCUGGUCUGAGAGGAUGACCAGCCACACUGGAACUGAGACACGGUCCAGACUCCUACGGGAGGCAGCAGUGGGGAAUAUUGCACAAUGGGCGCAAGCCUGAUGCAGCCAUGCCGCGUGUAUGAAGAAGGCCUUCGGGUUGUAAAGUACUUUCAGCGGGGAGGAAGGUGUUGUGGUUAAUAACCGCAGCAAUUGACGUUACCCGCAGAAGAAGCACCGGCUAACUCCGUGCCAGCAGCCGCGGUAAUACGGAGGGUGCAAGCGUUAAUCGGAAUUACUGGGCGUAAAGCGCACGCAGGCGGUCUGUCAAGUCGGAUGUGAAAUCCCCGGGCUCAACCUGGGAACUGCAUUCGAAACUGGCAGGCUUGAGUCUUGUAGAGGGGGGUAGAAUUCCAGGUGUAGCGGUGAAAUGCGUAGAGAUCUGGAGGAAUACCGGUGGCGAAGGCGGCCCCCUGGACAAAGACUGACGCUCAGGUGCGAAAGCGUGGGGAGCAAACAGGAUUAGAUACCCUGGUAGUCCACGCCGUAAACGAUGUCUACUUGGAGGUUGUGCCCUUGAGGCGUGGCUUCCGGAGCUAACGCGUUAAGUAGACCGCCUGGGGAGUACGGCCGCAAGGUUAAAACUCAAAUGAAUUGACGGGGGCCCGCACAAGCGGUGGAGCAUGUGGUUUAAUUCGAUGCAACGCGAAGAACCUUACCUGGUCUUGACAUCCACAGAACUUUCCAGAGAUGGAUUGGUGCCUUCGGGAACUGUGAGACAGGUGCUGCAUGGCUGUCGUCAGCUCG
rnacentral:rRNA from 1 species